rnacentral:rRNA from 1 species
UACGGAGGGUGCAAGCGUUAAUCGGAAUUACUGGGCGUAAAGCGGGCGCAGGCGGUUUGUUAAGUCUGUUGUGAAAUCCCCGAGCUCAACUUGGGAAUUGCAAUGGAUACUGGCAGGCUGGAGUAUGGUAGAGGAAGGUGGAAUUCCCGGUGUAGCAGUGAAAUGCGUAGAGAUCGGGAGGAACACCAGUGGCGAAGGCGGCCUUCUGGACCAAUACUGACGCUCAUGCACGAAAGCGUGGGGAGCAAACAGG